GAAGUAUUGAGGAUUGUAGCUGGCAUCUUUGGAUGUAUGUGCUCAUCUUCUCUUCAAUCUUACCACCUGUGAACCUUUUGUAGCUUGUAGAUGUCAGUUCUCAGCUAGCAAUAGUUGGAUUGAGGGGUUGCCUUACAAGCUCUCCUUGGAUGUCUACAUUCUAUGUUUAUCCAUAUACUCUGUAUGUUUAGAAUGUAUAUCAUGGGUCUUUGACCUAUAAAACCUUAUACAACUUUCAACAACGGAUCUCUUGGCUCU
rnacentral:misc_RNA from 1 species